rnacentral:rRNA from 1 species
CCUACGGGAGGCAGCAGUGAGGAAUAUUGGUCAAUGGACGAGAGUCUGAACCAGCCAAGUAGCGUGAAGGAUGACUGCCCUAUGGGUUGUAAACUUCUUUUAUAUGGGAGUUAAUUGUUCUAUGUGUCGGAUUUUGUACGUACCACAUCAUUCAGGAUCGGCUAACUCCGUGCCAGCAGCCGCGGUAAUACGGAGGCUCCGAGCGUUAUCCGGAUUUAUUGGGUGUAAAGGGUCCGUAGGGGGAUUCUUAAGUCAGUUGUGAAAGUUUGCGGCUCAACCGUAAAAUUGCAGUUGAAACUGGCAGUCUUGAGUACAGUAGAGGUAGGCGGAAUUCGUGGUGUAGCGGUGAAAUGCUUAGAGAUCACGAAGAACUCUGAUUGCGAAGGCAGCUCACUGGACUGCAACUGACACUGAGGCUCGAAAGUGUGGGUAGCAAACAGGAUUAGAUACCCGGGUAGUC